UACGUAGGGUGCAAGCGUUGUCCGGAAUUAUUGGGCGUAAAGGGCUCGUAGGCGGUUUGUCGCGUCGGGAGUGAAAACUCAGGGCUUAACCCUGAGCCUGCUUCCGAUACGGGCAGACUAGAGGUAUGCAGGGGAGAAUGGAAUUCCUGGUGUAGCGGUGAAAUGCGCAGAUAUCAGGAGGAACACCGGUGGCGAAGGCGGCAUCCUGGACCAAUUCUGACACUGAGGAGCGAAAGCCAGGGGAGCAAACGGG
rnacentral:rRNA from 1 species